AUUGAACGCUGGCGGCAUGCUUUACACAUGCAAGUCGAACGGCAGCGCGGGCUUCGGCCUGGCGGCGAGUGGCGAACGGGUGAGUAAUGCAUCGGAACGUGCCCAGUAGUGGGGGAUAGCCCGGCGAAAGCCGGAUUAAUACCGCAUACGACCUGAGGGUGAAAGCGGGGGACCGAAAGGCCUCGCGCUAUUGGAGCGGCCGAUGUCGGAUUAGCUAGUUGGUGGGGUAAAGGCUUACCAAGGCGACGAUCCGUAGCUGGUCUGAGAGGACGACCAGCCACACUGGGACUGAGACACGGCCCAGACUCCUACGGGAGGCAGCAGUGGGGAAUUUUGGACAAUGGGGGCAACCCUGAUCCAGCCAUGCCGCGUGCGGGAAGAAGGCCUUCGGGUUGUAAACCGCUUUUGUUCGGGAAGAAAGCCUCUGGGCUAAUACCCCGGGGGGAUGACGGUACCGGAAGAAUAAGCACCGGCUAACUACGUG
rnacentral:rRNA from 1 species